UUAUGAUUAACUAAUUAUAGCAACAAUCAGAUUAUUCGGAUCCCCCCCAUCAAACCCCGAAUCAUUUCUCUGAUUCCCACCAAAUACCAAGCCAAAUCCAUUCCUUAACACUACAACGGGUAACCUCAUUUCCAAUUGCGUUUCUUCUAAGCGGAAACCGGCCAUGGCCGCCGCCCCUAAUCCUCGCGCCUCCUCUUCCAACCCUCCUCCUCCGAACCGUUUCGUCUUCUCCGCCAACUAUCCGCCCCGAGUCGCACUCAGUCCCAGUCAAUUCAACUACUGCUCUCAGGCUCUCAAAUUGUUUUCCGAAAAGCUCCUGAUGCCCCAGGAAAUCACCCGAGAGUUCGCUCACUUGCAGGCAAAUAGGAUUAGACAUUCGGAGAUGGCGAGGAGCUGUACAGUGGGUCUUAACGGUGUAAAUUUGGACAAGAAUCGAUACUCUGAUGUUGUACCAUUUGACAAAAAUAGAGUUGUUCUUAAUUCAUGUAAAGAUUACAGACCAGCUGCAAAGGGUUAUAUCAAUGCGAGCUUCGUCACGACUUCUUCGUCAGAGAACAUUUCUCAGUUUAUAGCCACACAGGGUCCACUACCACAUACCUAUGAAGACUUUUGGGAGAUGGUGAUCCAACGUCAUUGCCCUGUCAUUGUGAUGCUUACUCGGUUGGUUGACAAUUAUAAGAUGGUAAAGUGUGGAGAUUACUUUCAAGCAGAAGAUGGUCCUAGACAAUUUGGCAAUAUCUGUAUCGAUACAAAGUGGAUACAAGCAACAGACACCUCAUUACUGCUACGCAACUUGGAAGUAAACUAUAGGGAGUCAGAGGACCCACCAGUAUCGGUUUUGCACAUUCAAUAUCCUGAAUGGCCUGACCAUGGUGUUCCUGGAGACACACUUGCUGUCCGUGAAAUCUUGAAAAGAGUAUUACAAGUACCAACAAAUCUUGGCCCUAUAGUGGUGCAUUGCAGUGCAGGUAUUGGGAGAACUGGAACAUACUGUGCAAUUCAUAACACAAUCCAGAGAAUCCUUGUUGGGGACAUGUCUGCGUUGGACCUUGCUAAUACCGUAUCUUCAUUUAGGUCUCAGCGUAUUGGAAUGGUUCAAACCUUGGAUCAAUAUAUUUUCUGCUAUGAAGCGAUUGUUGAUGAAUUAAAAGAUCUUGUCUCAGAGUUCAGCUGUGAAUACAGUUCAAAAUGCUAGAUUUCUCCCUACUAAAGCUGAUUCUGAUUCAGCAACAAGAAGCAUAGCAUUUGCUUAUUUCUCUCAAGUUGGAGAAAUGCAUAUUUAAUGAUACUUGCCCUAUAUCGAUCUGUUUCUAAAGUGUCUUGGGGUUACAUGGCAUCCUGGAAAUAAAGAAUACUUCUAAUCAAUUAAUUCAGUUGACCUUAGUUUCAAGGUUGCAGCAGUUGCAAAAUUUAGGAAUAUGGACAGAAACUGUUUUACACACCCUUGACUCCAUUCCAGGACCAGGUUGCAUAUGGAAAGGGCCUGUUUGUUCCCAUAUCUCUGGUCUUUAUGAUGAAUUGAUGAUACUUGAACAAGAACUGAAAGUCUGAUAGUUCAGCGGCUGUUGAAUGGGCUAGGGUCCAGAGAGUAAAUGCCUACUUGUCUACUCUUCAAGUGCUGGAAUAAUGAUGAUGGCUUGGUCACGAGAUUACCCUGCCAACAAGU